AUGUCAUUGGUUGAUACUUGUUCCUCAAUUUGAUGAUGAAUUCUACAUAAAUGAAACUGAGAAUGACCCAAGCCCAAUUAUAAUUAGUGAGAAAUACCUGAAUUUGUUAUCAUCUUAGUUUUUCAAUCUAUUGAAUUUGGGACUUGUUUUUAAGGCCCAUGGACCGCUCAAUGGGCUGGCUAAUCACUUAAUCAAUUGAUUGGUGUCAUUAACUCACCAUCUUUCUCUUUCUUUAAUUCUUGCCCCUCUUCUCUCUGCAAAACCAAUUAAUGCAAAAUAUCUCUUUAAUUUUCCCGCAAUUUUUCUGGAUUAUCAAUCAUAGUUAAUACCCCAGCAGCAGAACAAAACCCCCCAUUAAUGGAAAUUUUCCAGAAGGUACUUGGGUAGGUUUAAGCGCCAGGAUUACGAGGACGUGUUCAUUUCAUCGCCUAAGUCGAGCCUGAGGAAAAUAGGAACUUGUUUGGGGUGGACUUACAGCUGUUAUGGAUGGUAUAUAAGUUACAGUAUUAUUUCCUCACCUUGUUCUUCAUUUAUAAAUUGGUGUAAGGACCUGAUAUUGCUGGCUUUUUACAUUAUUAUUAUCACAAAGACCUACAUUGCAGAAAAGGAGAGGUUAGAUGAAUAUACCACUAGACUAAAUGCCUGACAUUGCUGUCAAGUAUACAGUGUACUUGAUUUUUAUUCCCUUGGACAUACAUGGACAUUUUCUAGA